rnacentral:rRNA from 1 species
AUUAAGACAGUAGGACUGUGGUCAUGGAAGUCAAAAUCCACUAAGGAAUGUGUAACAACUUGUUCAUGUGAU